GAAUAUUGGACAAUGUGCGAAAGCCUGAUCCAGCCAUGCCGCGUGUGUGAAGAAGGUCUUCGGAUUGUAAAGCACUUGUAGUUGGGAGGAAUGGCAGUAAGCGAAUACCUUGCUGUUUUGCCGUUACCGACAGAAUAAGCACCGGAUAACUCUGUGCCAGCAGCCGCGGUAAUACAGAGGGUGCAAGCGGUAAUCGGAAUUACUGGGCGUAAAGGGCGCGUAGGGGGGUAGUGAAAGUGAGUGUGAAAACCGCGGGCUAAACCUGGGAACUGCAUCCAAAACUGGCGAGCUAGAGUAGGGCAGAGGGUGGUGGAAUUUCCUGUGUAGCGGUGAAAUGCGUAGAUAUAGGAAGGAACACCAGUGGCGAAGGCGACCACCUGGGCUCAUACUGACACUGAGGUGCGAAAGCGUGGGGAGCAAAC
rnacentral:rRNA from 1 species